rnacentral:ncRNA from 1 species
GUUUCUAACUGGGUAAGAGUGAAAUGGGAAAUCGGUGCGCUUCGCCUGAAUUUGGUGUUUGUAGCAAUUCCGAUACUGCCCCCGCAACGGUAAAUAAGAAUGUUUGGCUGUUAUACCACUGUGCGAUUUUUGGCAUGGGAAGGUAGCUAAAUAGAGAGGCCCUAAAAGGCAGCUCGCUUAUGAGUCCGGAGACCGGCCUAUCGC